UCCGUGAAUUUCUCACAUUCAUCCUUUAACUCAUGGGUUUCGUUAGCCACAUCAGGAUCAAUUACGCGUAAAGAAUACAAAUCAUCUAUGUAGAUACCAGAACUACCUAAUUCUUCGCUCAUUUCAACAGUUUUAUAAAAUACGGAAAUAUCAUCUUUAUUAUUGAUUAACAUUUAUGUUUGUGCAAUACGUAGUCAAGGUAACCUUGGUAAUCUACAGUGCUUGCAGCACUGCAAUCAUGCGCGACACGCAUUUAUGAGCGUAUUCUAUUCACACCAUGUAAAUACGAAACAUCUCAACAAAAAACAAAAAGUAAUCAAAAAGGUGAUAGAAUUUAAAAGAAGGCGAAUUUGAUUUCAUUUCAAACAUUUAAAAAUACCUUACAACUAUCCACCAUACACUGUAAAUAAAUGGUACGAUUACUUCAAGUAUUUUUGCACUUGAUUCAAUUCGUCACGUGGCACUGCAAAUUGAACUGCAAUAUCAAUUGACAAACGUCAGAACCAUGAGGCGAAACAAAAAUAGUGACGGUGGCGAAAGGCGUAAGCAGCACAUUUUCCCCAGAGAUUAACAAUUUGUUUGAAACUCCUGAAAUCGGUUGCACCGACAUGAUGACAGAAAUCAUUUUGUAAUUAAAUUGAAAAUCUGAGAUUUAAAAAAAAUGAAAAAAUCUAAAAUAAAUAACAAUCAAAAGAUCAAAAGAUUUAUUCUGAUUAGCUGAUAAUAUCCAAAUGAUCGACAUUCCUUAU